UGAAAGUCUGUACAAAAACCUCCUUUAGGUCUACAGGAGCUGCUUGAACGCAUCAACAGAAACCACAGGGGACUGAGGCUUAGAACAGCUGUACAGCUGGUACAGUUAGAUUUGAUGGGUUUCAGUGGUAGCGGAUCUGGAACUGUCUUUACAUUCAACAUCACGGAAGUCUAAGAUGUACAUGUACAGAUGCAGCCAUUCAAAAUGGGUAACACUCAGCCCUCGCUGACGGUCCUGCCCCCCUCCAGCAGGGAGCUGUCAGAGAAGAAGUCGGCCACGCUGUUGUGUCUGGCCAACCAGGGCUUUCCGUCUGACUGGAGCCUGCAGUGGACAGUGGACGGCCACUCCAGGACCAACGGGGUCACCAAGACCCCCUACCUCCUGGACAGCACUGGCCUGUACAGCUGGAGCAGCACCCUGACACUAUCUGAAGCUGAGUGGUCCUCAGUGGGCACUGUGGUCUGUGAGGCCACCCACAGCUCCCAGGCUCCCGUGACAAAGGCCCUGAAGAAAUCCGAGUGUCCAGAAUAGCCUGGCCUGGGGGCAGCGCCUGCUUCAUUCCUAGCUUAGAGCUGCAGAUACUGAAGUUUUACUCUAGCUUUCCUGUGCUGUGAUUUAAUGGGAGGCCAUCGCCCCAACGACCUGUGCCAACCUGUGCGCCAAUGUGCUGUUUUUGUUAGAAACCUCUUUGACUUCACAUCUUCACGUCUGUGUGUGCAAAUGGCCUGUAACUGGUGUAAGUGCUGUUAGUGACCCAACAAUAAUAGUAAUAAAGAAUUUCUGAAUCAUGAA